UACUACACUUGUACCACAAAAAAACAUGGUUAAUUUAUAUGUCCAUUAAAACUAAAAAAGGGUCCCAUGGUCCUGGCCUGAUUAGAAGAGGUAGGCUCGAGCGCGUUUUGGUUUGGAAAAGGGCUAGUGUGAGUGCAAACUAGUGCUGUAGUACUCGAGUCCGGUCCGGACUCGAGACGUUUUUUAAUGGUCUCGGACUUGUCUUGGACUCGUUGGUAUUUGAACUCGGACUUGUCUCGGACUUGGUCAUUGGUCUCGCAAAUGUUCUAGUCGGUCUCGUCCGAGUCCAGCGAUAUAUGUUUUAUUUUCUCCUUCAAAACAAAACAUUGAUAGAGCAAUAUUCUUGUGAUCCGAAAACGAAUGAUCCGAAAACUGUUGCCGACUCUCGACUCUAGAACGAGAGCUGCGCGUGCUCAUAAGUUCUCUUUUCACACAGAAGUUCAGUUCAGUGUGUGCUGUUGUUGUAAUUAAAUAACUCCGGUAUAUUGGUUCAAGUCCGCGGGACUGUCAUGCACGCCAGAAAGUGAAUAACUGAAUUAAUUUGUGGAUAAUAUUAAGUGUUUACGGGAGACGCUAAACGGGAACGAUUCAGCUGAACUGGUUCGACCGGUUCACUAAAAAGAAAGAACCGGUUCGAAUGAAUGAUUCGUCCGCGGCGCGAACUAGCAUCAAUCAUUCAUCAAGCACGAUGUCAGCGAGCAGCGGCAUAAUACAGAUUGGUUUUACAAACCAUAAUACAUGUAUCGACAGUGCGCUUAAAAGGAAACUUUUUGCACCAAAACUUUCCCCGAAACAUGUGGGACAACAUCCAAUUUCGUAAGACACCUGCAAAGGCAUCACAAAGAGAGGAGUCUAAAGAAAGCUGUGUCAUUUUAGACGGGGUCCAAGACUGGUCAUGUAUCAGUCAGCGAAAUGCCGACAGGAAUGGAGAGAUUACGCCAGGACCAGAUGAACGGCAUAUGCCCAUGCCUAACUAGAGAUUACACCAGCUCCAUCUGAACAUCCCGUGCCAUCCUCCUGCAAGAGCCUGCGGACUGACAGACCAUCUCAGGCAAUUCCAUCACCACCCUAGAGCAAAGUGACCAUCUGACCAUCCCAGCUCAGGCAAUUCCAUCCCCAACCAAGAGCAAAGACGGACUACUUGUCACAUUAAUGCUAAAUUUACAAUGAUUAGUAUUAAAUGCUAAACUUACAUCACAUGACAGCAGUUUGAAGUUAUAGCUGCACUCAGUUACAUUGUGCCAUUAUUAUUUUUCCUACUUAUAACAUUACUCUGUUUGCCUGAUAUCGAUAAAAAAUACAAAUAAAAAAAUAAGACAAAUUAGACCCAAACAAUUCCAACAAAUGAAACUUCUUAAAUCACAACUAAUAAACUCUCCCUGUUCUUCAUAAACAUUUACUCAGUAACUUAAUCAAAGUAACUGAGUGCAGCUGUGACACGUCAGAGGAGAUAUGGCCCGCCCGGCUGACGCUGGUUUCACCCAAGGUUUUUUUUUUCUCCAUUUAUUUAUCAUUGGAAUUUGGGUUCCUCGUCCCGGUGGCUGGCUUGCUCACCAGGAGACUGCAUUCAUUAGAUAUUAUUACUAGAAUGAUCUUGCUUGUUUUAUAAACACCAUGCACUGUGCUUUGUUUUAAAUUUUCUGUGUUGUUCUGUUUUUCUCCUCUAAAGCUGCUUUGGAACAAUCCAAAUUGUGUAAAGCGCUAUAUAAAUAACAUUGAAUUGAAUUGAAUUAGUGAGAACAAUUAUGAGGCAGGACGUGCGUGUGAAUGAAAGAAAGAGACUGUAAAACUCACAGAGAAUGCAUUAUUCCCAUUGCACUGCGGCACGUUCCAUUGUUUUUUUAUGUAUUUAUUUAUUUAAUGUAAAUAUGUGUAGCGCUGUAAAUUUCUUUAAGAGAGACACUGUAAAAAACGAUUCUGGAGGGUGUUAAAUACAACCCAUUAAAAUCAGUUUUAUCAAUUCAAUUUUACCUAGAAAUAUUGGUCAGCGAAUAAAAUAUACAAUAAUUGGUACAUUCUACCUACACUACCUACUUUUUAUGAGUAAUAAUGGCAACUUAAAAAAACAAGGUAGAAUUUACCCGAAAAUAUUAGCUAUGACACUGCGGAGUGCGCGCGCAAUGCAUCAACGUUCCGGUGGGAAAUUAGGAAUCAUGAGACGCAUCCUCUUCAGAUUCGCUGACAGGAUUUGUGGAGCAGCCGGUAAGUUUUUGUUCAACUUCUUUAUAUCAUCAUGAAUGCAAAAGUUGACUUACUUAAAUGUAAGCUCUACCGUUAUAUUCUCCUUUUGGGUUAAAAUAAGUUAUGCUGUUUUGUUAUCAGUACAUGUGAGGCGAGUCGCAGAUAUUAGAUAAUAUAGGUGGUGAAUGUCACGGAGACAGCCCUCACAACAUAAGAGGAUAUGCGAAUAAUGUUUAUUUAACUAAUGUAAAAAUUGACAUGCAUUUUGUUUUUAUUUUUAACAGGAGAACUUGAAAGGCAAACAAAGUGAAAGUGCUGGUGAUGCAUAAUCCCACAGCUGAGCAGGAUUUGUAUGUCAAUUGAAAUUGAUGUUAAGAAUAAGAAAAUAGCUUUAAAUGUAUAUUUUGACAUUCAGUGAAGACAUUGGUUUGUUUUUAAAUAGAAAAAGUUCAAGAAUUUGUGAGCAAUAAUUGUAUUUGAACUUGAAUAGAAGGGCUCUUUUGUACUUGCAUUAGGGUUUAACAUUUUAAAGAUGAAAUGUUUGUGUCAGCAUGUUUAUUUUAAAAUGGAAGAUGUUCAAGAAGUAAUUUGUAAAAGUGAAGUGGUAUGUCACUUGAAAUUGAAUGUAAGAGGAUUUAAGCGUUUAAAAAAUAAAGUGUGUUCAUUGGAAAAAUGUAAUUACAGUCUCUGUUC